UCUGGUUCAAGACAGCUUCUCCAGGUCAGCCCACAGUGAUUCGUGGCUUACCAAAACACAAACGUAAAGGUAGCAAGGGCAGCACAGGAGAAAAGGAAAAGAUGCUGGUGCAACGAGAAUGAAACUGUAACAUUUGUCUUCUCACGUCCCCGAAAGCUGCGGGAACCACAAGUUUCUAAAGGACCUGGAAGAGUGAGCUGUGUGUUGUAUUCACAGAAAGGGGUGGACAUCCCCCCAAAUCAUCUUGUAAGAACUCUGAAUUUUAGCUGGUUACAUGUCUGUCCAGUCAAAGACUACAUUUCCCAGACUCCCUUUCAGCUAACAUGGCCACGUAAUUAAAUUAUGGCUUUGGUCGUGAUGUUUGCAAACUCCCAGGUAAACCUUUAAAGGAAACUACUUGCCUUUUAUUUUCUCUUUCCUCCAUCCCAAAGCUGGACCACGGAGGUGAUGGAUGGUGGUAAGGCAGGCACAGGCUCAGAAAGGUGGAACAUUCAUACAGAAAGUUUCUGGGUUCUCUAAUAGUGCCUGGAGUAGGACUCUAUCAUGCAUCUGAUGUGCCUAUCAGUUUUGACUUUUACAGGGGAGAAAAGUAAACCACUUAUUUUGUAUAAGCUCUUUCUUUUUUGGUCUCUGUUAAAGCAGCUUUACCAAUAUUCUAAUUUGUAUAGAUACCAACUCAACAACUCAAAUGUGAGUGCUGUUCCUAUUUUGGUCAGUCAGCACAGUAUCUUACCAGGAUAUCAUAUGAUGGAAGGAAUAGAAAUUAACAUCCUUUCCUGUGAGUUAACCCUUGCAUUAUCCCCUCUUCUUUUUUAGGGCUCUGCCCUGUCCUGCCCCACAUUAUACUUUAUUCCCAUAUAAAAACCAAAGGUCAAGGCAAGAUCUGGAUUGAAAUUACAUUUAUUUACCUAUACAAUGGGAUUUCUGCCAACAAUUAAAACCUUGAUUUUCUAUGCUGCUGAUGCUUUGUUUUAGGGCAGAGUAAUUUUCAGAUAGGUUUGUAUUAUAUAUACACGUAGCUAUAUAUGAUGCAUUCAUCCACCCAUCCAUCCAUCCAUUCUUUUCUGGAGUAAUUUGGCCAUGUAGUGUGUACAGGGAACUAUUCAAAUAAAAUAAGAACCAAUAUAUGAUAAGAGAUCAAAUGGGUUACAAUUCAUUGAUUCAUAUUCACAGAUGGAUGAACAGAACAAAUGAAACACAACUUAAUCUUAAAAUUCCUUAAAAGAAAUAGAAAUUAAAAAUCCAACAUAAACCAUUGUUAUGAAUGACUUACCAUUUGGAAUUUCCUCUAUUUCUAUAAAUGUAAUGAUUGAUGCUUUUGUAGCAUAAAAACCAUAGCCCCAUGUGAAAUAUAUUGAUACAUUAUUAACUAGCAUAGGCUCUGUUUCUCUUUUUGUACCUGAAUUCAGUGUAGACAUGUAAAUGUCUGAUUGUCUGGCUGGAAACAACUGAAGUUGCAUAAAGGAUUUGCCAUUUUUAUCAUGGCACUAACUGGAUUUCAGAAGGUUUUUUUCUACUUAUCUGGUUCUGGAGGUAACAUACUGCAUAUAUCAUUUGUGAACUAUUGGUACAUGUGGGUUUUCUAGGAAAGGGUAAGGAUUCUAAAACCAAGAACAUGUUCUCAGUUACAAUCUCUUUUUUUACUUACGUAUAAUCAGAAACACAUGUAACUUUUCCUAAAGGAACAAUAACAGCUCACUCCCCUAUGCUAAAUACCAAAAAUCACAAACC